rnacentral:rRNA from 1 species
UACGGAGGGGACUAGCGUUGUUCGGAAUUACUGGGCGUAAAGCGCACGUAGGCGGAUUUGUAAGUCAGGGGUGAAAUCCCGAGGCUCAACCUCGGAACUGCCUUUGAUACUGCAAAUCUCGAGUCCGGAAGAGGUGAGUGGAAUUCCUAGUGUAGAGGUGAAAUUCGUAGAUAUUAGGAAGAACACCGGUGGCGAAGGCGGCCCACCGGAUCGGUACUGACGCUGAGGUGCGAAAGCGUGGGGAGCAAACAGG